rnacentral:rRNA from 1 species
UUGAUCUCAAAUCAGGUAGGACUACCCGCUGAACUUAAGCAUAUCAAUAAGCGGAGGAAAAGAAACUAACAAGGAUUCCCCUAGUAACUGCGAGUGAAGCGGGAAGAGCUCAAAUUUAAAAUCUGGCGUGCCUCUGGUCGUCCGAGUUGUAGUCUGGAGAAGCGUUUUCCGUGCUGGACCGUGUACAAGUCUC